rnacentral:rRNA from 1 species
CCUACGGGCGGCUGCAGUGGGGAAUAUUGCACAAUGGGCGCAAGCCUGAUGCAGCCAUGCCGCGUGUGUGAAGAAGGCCUUCGGGUUGUAAAGCACUUUCAGCGGGGAGGAAGGCGGUGAGGUUAAUAACCUCAUCGAUUGACGUUACCCGCAGAAGCAGCACCGGCUAACUCCGUGCCAGCAGCCGCGGUAAUACGGAGGGUGCAAGCGUUAAUCGGAAUUACUGGGCGUAAAGCGCACGCAGGCGGUCUGUCAAGUCGGAUGUGAAAUCCCCGGGCUCAACCUGGGAACUGCAUUCGAAACUGGCAGGCUAGAGUCUUGUAGAGGGGGGUAGAAUUCCAGGUGUAGCGGUGAAAUGCGUAGAGAUCUGGAGGAAUACCGGUGGCGAAGGCGGCCCCCUGGACAAAGACUGACGCUCAGGUGCGAAAGCGUGGGGAGCAAACAGGAUUAGAUACCCUUGUAGUC